ACUCAUGCGGGUGAAUCCAUUUUGAUGUUCUAGCUAACACGUUACACUGAACGACUGUUCACACAUAUUACGUUUUUUGAAAAUUUCAUCUAUAAGAUUAUACAGCCUAAAUAUGUAACACUCCUAUAACAUGACAGAUGCUUUCAUUGUAGAUAGCACAUUAGGAUGUUGCACAUAUACAUCUAAAUAUGUUGCACUCCUAGACAGAGAAGAUGGAUUCAUGGCAGAUAGGAAGAGUCAACAUAUACAGCCCAGAUAUGUUCCACUCCUACCCAAUGAAUAUGGUUUCAUGGUAGAUGCACAUUAGGAUGUUUAACAUGUAGAUACAGCCAUAAUAUGUUACACUCCUAGACAAUGAAGAUGGUUUCAUGGUAGAUUGAUCACACAUCUGGAUACGUAGCAUAUACAGACUAGAUAUGUUACCCUCCUAGACAAUGAAGAUGCUUUCUUGGUUUACAGCACACGAAGAUUUGUAUCAUAUAACGCCUAAAUAUGUUACACUCUUCGACAAUGAAAAUGGUUUCAUUGUAGAUAGCACAUUAGGAUUAGUCACAUAUACUGCCUAAAUAUGUAAGACUCCUAUACCAUGAAAGAUGCUUCCAUUGCAGAUAGCACAUUAGGAUGUUGCACAUAUACUGCCUAAAUAUGUAAGACUCCUAUACCAUGAAAGAUGCUUCCAUUGCAGAUAGCACAUUAGGAUGUUGCACAUAUACAGCCUAAAUAUGUAAGACUCCUAUACCAUGAAAGAUGCUUCCAUUGCAGAUGCACAUUAGGAUAAGUCACAUAUUAUACAGCCUUAAUAUGUAACACUCCUAUACCAUGAAAGAUGCUUUCACACAUUAGGACGUUGCACAUAUACAUCUAAAUAUGUUGCACUCCUAGACAGAGAAGAUGGAUUCAUGGCAGAUAGGAAGAGUCAACAUAUACAGCCCAGAUAUGUUCCACUCCUACCCAAUGAAUAUGGUUUCAUGGUAGAUGCACAUUAGGAUGUUUAACAUAUACAGCCUAAAUAUGUUGCACUCCAAGACAAUGAAGAUGGUUGCAUGGUAGAUUGAUCACACAUCUGGAUACGUAGCAUAUAACGCCUAAAUAUGUUACACUCUUCGACAAUGAAAAUGGUUUCAUUGUAGAUAGCACAUUAGGAUUAGUCACAUAUGCAACUUAUAUGAUGUUUCAGUAGUAGAAGGUGCAGCAUGGCAGCAGAAGAUGUUAAAUUGAGAAUCGUGAAGAGACAGUUUAAUUCUUUAGAGAAUAAAUAAGAUUAUAGUUUAUAGAUGAAGAUUAUAAAAAUCUUUAAUGUUCAAAAUAUCAGAUGAGAAUUUGCCAAGUGCCCUCAAUAUGUCUACAAUGAUAUAACAAUCAUAAUUAAAAAUGUAUUGUAAACCUCUUUUUCAAUAUUCAUAUUAAAGAAAGUAGAUUGUCAAUUUAGAUAUUUACUUAUUUACCUGAAUUUUGGACAAUAUGACUUUAUUUAGAUUUUUUGAAAUUCAAGUUCAAAAUGUAUAUACAUCAGAUAGUUUUGGUUUGCCAGCAACUUCCAUUGUAUAGCCAAAAGAUCAAUUGUUGGUUGUAAUUAAGGCCAGCUCUAAAUAAGAUCUUAAAAUAGAAACUAUCUUCAAAUUUGACAAGUUACCAUAUCUACAUAUGAAUAAAUUAGAAUAGUCUGUAAAUAUUCUGUAUUUUCCUUUUUGCAUCAUCUUUUGAGUAACCAAAUCAGAACACCCAGUUUGGUGAAAUACUUUUUCCUGUUAUAUCUAUCAUUGCUUUUGUAAGAUAAAAACAAAAAUGUAUAUGCAGUUUUGUUAAAUAUAUUUAAAUUAAAAAUUUAAAAAAAAAUCAAAUUCAAAUUAACACAAACAAAAUUGACUUUAACUUAUGGUUUAGUUCAUGCACCCUUUAAUGUAUAUCUUAAAAGUUUUGUUGUGGACUAAGCAAAUAUCAAAUUAUCAUUUCAGAAGUACAUUUUGCUUGCAUGGUAUCAUCUUCACUAACAUUUAACAUAGUGGGUUUCGGAGUUACUGAGGUAGUUCUUAUUGAGGUGUUUCUUGUUUUUUUCUAUGGAGGAAUCAGUGGUUUCUAUUUUGUUCAGGAUAUGGUUUUGUCAUUCAAAGGGAACUGUCAAUGUAAUUCUGAAAUGAUAUACAUUUGGUAUUUUAUUGUCAUUGAAAAAGAAACAGUAUCAGUGCAUGAACAUUUGAACUGUGAAUAUAUAAUAUUUAAACUUUAUAAUUUAUAAUUUUUAAAUCGAUUUUGGAAAGUUAUUGUAUCAAAAUUAAAUUGUAUUUGACACAGUUUGAUGGAUGGAAAUUGAAAAUUAGAAAAACUUUGAAAACAAAAUUCCAAAUAUAAAUUUCUGCUUCAUUAAAACAUUUGGUUAAAUGGAUCUGCAAAAUCACUGAUAGCUAACAUGGUUAAUCCACUUAAUUAGAUAGUGUCGUUAAGUAUAGUCUAAUGGAUCCUGUUGAUAUCCUAUUAAAAGUAUUAAUGUAUUAUAAAUUAUAUUCCUAAAUCUAACAUGUCAGACGCGAGAGACCCCCCUUUGUUAUAGAGGGAUCGCCCUUGCAUCAGUGUCUUACAAAUUGUACUGUAAUAUACUGAACUAUAGAUUAGCUCAGUGGGUAGAUGAUAACAAUGUACUGGUUGAGGAACAGAAUGGUUUAUGACAACUUUGUAGUACAAUAGACCAAUUAUCUACUCUUACUAAUUUGAUAAAUGUGAGAAAAACACUUCCUAAAUCAAUCUUUUGCGCCUUUAUAUUGAUUUUAAAAAGGCUUACGACACUACACAGAGAUAUUUUAUGGUAUAAACUAAAUAAAAUUGGUGUUGCACAGACUUUUUUGUUCUGCUAUUAAGUCAAUUUAUACAAAUGUUCUGUAAGAAUAAACGAUCAUUUCACAGACUGGUUUGAUGUAAACACUGGCUUGAAACAAGGAUGUCCCUUGUCGCUCAUUUUGUUCAACUUGUAUAUUAAUGAUUAACAUUUCUUAAGUCCUUUGACUGCGGAAUAGAUAUUGGUGAUGAAAAACUGUAUUUUAUUAUAUGCUGAUGAUGUUGUUAUAGCAAACGAUGAAAAAGAGCUACAACUUUUGGUAAAUGCUUUUUCUACAUGAUUUGAAGACAAUUGUAUGACAAUUAAUACAAACAAGAGUAACAUUGUACAAUUUAGACCACCAUCUAUUCCUAGAUAUGAUGUAAUUUUUAAUUGUAAUGGUCAUACUAUAAAGUCUUCUAGUAAUGAUACUUGGUCUCCUUUUAAACAAGCAUUUAGACUAUAAUAUCACUGCAAAAGCCGUUGCAUCUUCAGCAAAUAGAACUUUAAGGAUGGUAAUAGCCAAGUGUAAACUUUAAGGGGGUGUUUGUUUCGAUGUAUUUGUAAAAUUAUAUGAAAGUUUGGUUUGUCCUAUAAUAGAAUAUGAAAAGGUAUAUGGGGUGUACAAAGAUAUUCUUGUAUAAAUUCCAUACAUAAUGGGGCCUGUAGAUUUUCUAGAAGUAGAAAAAUAUGCACCAAAUGCUGCAGUUACUGGAGACUUGGGUAUUAAUGUAUUAUACGUUGAUAAUUUUAUUUUAUAUUGCAUUUUGAUUUGUCAAUACACACGUUUUAAGGUGUAGGUCAGAGCACCUGACCCUGGAGACGGGAUUGCGCACUUGGCAUCCACUGACACAGGUUUCUAGAGCUUUUUGAUCGAUUAUAUCGUUUUUUAUCUCUAGUUGUUCCUGGCCGGCCUUGACUGUCUAUGAAGGGGUGCAUUUAGUCAAAAGUUGGUUUUGGUGUAUUUAGGAAAAUCAUGGAAGUAUUAUAUUUUACUUCCAUGGGAUAAUAUAUACCUAGGAAUUGUAUGAUUUUGAAUUAUAUAUACAUUGCAAUAAUAAUGAUUUAUUGAAUUUGUGAAUAUUUAUAAUACAAUCUGGCAUCCAUCGAGCAUGACGGGCUGUCGGCAAACUAAGAUUAUGUUUGCAUUAUUUAUAUUUGGCACAAGUAUGUAGUUAAUACCACCUAUUUUUGAUAAGCAGUGGAAAAGUAUUAUUCGUUUGUGGUGUAGAUUAAAUAACAUGAGCUGAAGUCUGAUAAAUGCAAAAAUUCAUUAGUGGGCUGAUAGAAUGAGUGUUAAGCAUAAGUGUGCUGAAAACUGGAACUUUUUAUCUUGUCCUGAAAAUAUGGACACAAAUUAUGUUGUUAAACUUUUAAUGUCAGAAUGCAUUUCAUUCACAGAAGUGCUUUUCUCAAAUUUAGAUGUGGUGUUGCUCCACUAAGGAUUUAUUUUUAAACUGGGAAAUAUGAAAAUUAUUGUUUUAGCGUGUGCCAUAUAUGUUAUAGUUUUAUUGAAGACGAAGCUAAUGUUUUAUUAAGAUGUCCUCUUUAUGAAGAUUUUAGAAACCAUUUAUGUUAUGUUGCUGAAACUUAUAAUGAAAAUGUUAAUACUUUAGAUGAUAACCAAAAGUUAGUGUUUUUAUUCUCAGAUGUGUUAUUCUCAGAUGUAAAUAUGAUACAUGUGUGUUCUAAAACCUGUUAUUUGAAUUUAAAAAGGCGUUGAAAUUUUAUAUAUGGUAAAUACAUGUAGUACUUUAUUUCAUAUUGUUUAAUGUAUUAUAUCUAUGCAUUUUAAUAGUCUUUAUAAUUCUGUAUAGAAUGGUUCAUUUUAUUUAGUAUUGUUUUACAAUGUAUAAAUAUCGAUUGUAAUUGUCGAGAGAGGAGACGGUCAUAAAACAUUGAAUUAAUUGAAUUGAGUUUGUUAGUAUUACAAUCAAUAUUUGUGUAUGCCUCGCACAAAAAUGUGCAAGCAGGGCCGUACUGGACAUUUUCAGUUAUCAAGGUUUUUUUUUUUAUAACAAACACACUGAGAUCUGGUAUCCAGGAAAUUAAAAUGAAUCAACAAUACUUUCAUGUAUUUUGUACAAUUAUAUUUUUUCUAAUUACACCUUGCUCAUGAUGCAGAUCUGUCUUCAUCUAAUACUAUGAUGAUGUACUACAGUGGCAUAAAAGUAGUUUGGUAUUUACCAUGAUGCAUUAGAAUUAAAUUUCCCCACGUUUCAAGCAAGGAUUUGUAUACAAAUCCUUGUUUCAAGGAAUAACAUUGAAAAAUAAUUUAUAAGCUAACACUUCUAGCCAGCAGUCUGUUUUGAAUGAUAAGGAUUUUUUUUAAACUGUUCAAGUAUACCUCCUUAGACAAUUUUCCUAGCAUUGGGUAUUGGAAUUUUCCAAUUUUUUCUCCACUACAUUUUCAGUUUUUAGUUGGUUGUUCCAUGUCAGCGGGGUCGUCGAUGAUAGAAUUUUUGCCAUUAUUUGAUAUUUCUCAUAAAAUAAAAUGCAAGAGCAUUUCAUCAAUUAUAAUUGCUACGAUUUUCUUUAUGUAUUUAUGCUUAUCCUUGUAUGCAUGUUUAUUGUUUUAAUGAAGAUAAAAUCCGAUGUCCAGGUUAUCGGCAAUAUGAA